AUUGGAUCCCUGAUACCCCUGAUAGCAUUCCUGCAAACGCGUCACACCGUGUCGGCGUUGGUGCUUUUGUUGUCAAUAACAAGAGAGAGGUGCUUGUGGUUCAGGAAACCAGUGGUAGAUUUGGAGGCACAGGUGUAUGGAAGAUGCCUACAGGAGCUGUGAAUGAAGUAUACGUCGAAAUGAUUAUUGAUCAAAUUAUGAAAAUGGAAAUUCAAUCUUUUGAGUUUUGACAUGUUUUAAUUCUAUUUGCAGGGUGAAGAUAUUUGUGAUGCUGUAAUUAGAGAAGUGAAGGAAGAGACAGGGGUUGAAACAAAGGCACAUAUGGUACUUGUUGCAUUCUCAAGUUCGUUAAACAGUCAGGACAGCUGCUCCUUUGCAGGAACUGGCAUCCAAACAUGUGAUGGCAGCAAUGGUGGAGAUAAUUUGUCAGCAUCAAGCCUCUGAAGCAUCUGACAUACCUUAUAAUCCCAAAGCUGUUAGAAAACACUGAUGACUAAUACUAGGUCACAAGGCAUGGAAAAUGGUGCUGCUGUCACUUCCAACUUGACAGG